CAACAUAGUGAGAUCCUGUCUCUAAAAAAUGAAAUAAAAUAAUAAAAUAUUAAAGUAAUUAAAUUUUGUUUUACUUGUCUAUGUUAGUCCUUUCCAAAUCUGGAGAACUAUUAGGGCAGUGGUUGGAGAUAGGGUUAAGCUGGGAAAGCCUCAGUUGAUUUGGCAUACCCUACCCUUUGUUUUCCUUUAGGUCCACUUAAAAACAACUGAAGAAGGCCAGGCAUGGUGGCUCACACCUGUAAUCCCAGAACUUUGGGAGGCCGAGGCAGGCAGAUCACCUGAGUUCGGUAGAGGCUUUCCUGUGAUGGGAUAAUCAUGGUGAAAGAAACCUUCUUAAUCCAGCGCUAUGCGAAAGUCAGGUUCAACAAACAAAUUACAAGAACAAUCUCCAUGUGCUCCAUUGAAGCAGUACCAGCAGGACACCUACAACUUGCCUUCCAGUUGCCUUAUAAAAAGCCCCUCUUCCACAGAGAGGAAUCACUUCUACCCUGUUUUUGUUUUGAAUCAACCCUCUUGUCUUAACUCGGCUUCAUCGCUCUCAAAGCUAAACUGCAGAAAAACAUCACCUGGGUUCCACCAAUCCACCUCUGUUCUUUGCUCCCUUUCCCUCCCCUGCCCAUAAAGAUCAUGCCACUGCACGCCAGCCUGGGCAGCAGAGCAAGACUCUGUCUCAAAAAAAGAAAAAAAAAAAGCAGAUACGCAGUAGCACAACAAUGUAAAUUUACUGCAUGCCACUGAAGUGUGCACUUAAAAAUGGUGAAGAUGAUAAAUUUAUGUUGUGUGUGUUUUACCACUAUUAGUGAAAAAAGCAGAUACGGUUUCAUACAAAGCAGUUGUGGCACAUGUGUCUCAUAGUGUCACAGGUGGACCUUCCUCAUAUGUCUAAGUCACCUGGGGGGGAAAUGCUCUACUUUGUUUUGCUUGAUUUGACCUUCUAUGUUGAUC
rnacentral:lncRNA from 1 species